AGAACGAACGCUGGCGGCAUGCCUAACACAUGCAAGUCGAACGAGACCUUCGGGUCUAGUGGCGCACGGGUGCGUAACGCGUGGGAAUCUGCCCUUAGGUACGGAAUAACUCAGGGAAACUUGUGCUAAUACCGUAUGAUGUCGAGAGACCAAAGAUUUAUCGCCUAGGGAUGAGCCCGCGUAGGAUUAGCUAGUUGGUGGGGUAAAGCCUACCAAGGCUACGAUCCUUAGCUGGUCUGAGAGGAUGAUCAGCCACACUGGGACUGAGACACGGCCCAGACUCCUACGGGAGGCAGCAGUGGGGAAUAUUGGACAAUGGGCGAAAGCCUGAUCCAGCAAUGCCGCGUGAGUGAAGAAGGCCUUCGGGUUGUAAAGCUCUUUUACCCGGGAAGAUAAUGACUGUACCGGGAGAAUAAGCUCCGGCUAACUCCGCGCCAGCAGCCGC
rnacentral:rRNA from 1 species